CCUACGGUGGGGCAGCAGUGGGGAAUAUUGGACAAUGGGCGAAAGCCUGAUCCAGCCAUGCCGCGUGUGUGAAGAAGGCCUUCGGGUUGUAAAGCACUUUCAGUGGGGAAGAAAGCCUUGGGGCUAAUACCCUCGAGGAAGGACAUCACCCACAGAAGAAGCACCGGCUAACUCCGUGCCAGCAGCCGCGGUAAUACGGAGGGUGCGAGCGUUAAUCGGAAUUACUGGGCGUAAAGCGCGCGUAGGCGGUCUGAUAAGCCGGUUGUGAAAGCCCCGGGCUCAACCUGGGAACGGCAUCCGGAACUGUCAGGCUAGAGUGCAGGAGAGGAAGGUAGAAUUCCCGGUGUAGCAGUGAAAUGCGUAGAGAUCGGGAGGAAUACCAGUGGCGAAGGCGGCCUUCUGGACUGACACUGACGCUGAGGUGCGAAAGCGUGGGUAGCAAACAGGAUUAGAUACCCUUGUAGUC
rnacentral:rRNA from 1 species